rnacentral:rRNA from 1 species
GACGAACGCUGGCGGCGUGCUUAACACAUGCAAGUCGAACGGAAAGGCCCUGCUUUUGUGGGGUGCUCGAGUGGCGAACGGGUGAGUAACACGUGAGUAACCUGCCCUUGACUUUGGGAUAACUUCAGGAAACUGGGGCUAAUACCGGAUAGGAGCUCCUGCUGCAUGGUGGGGGUUGGAAGGUUUCGGCGGUUGGGGAUGGACUCGCGGCUUAUCAGCUUGUUGGUGGGGUAGUGGCUUACCAAGGCUUUGACGGGUAGCCGGCCUGAGAGGGUGACCGGCCACAUUGGGACUGAGAUACGGCCCAGACUCCUACGGGAGGCAACAGUGGGGAAUAUUGCACAAUGGGCGGAAGCCUGAUGCAGCAACGCCGCGUGCGGGAUGACGGCCUUCGGGUUGUAAACCGCUUUCGCCUGUGACGAAGCGUGAGUGACGGUAAUGGGUAAAGAAGCACCGGCUAACUACGUG